AGGUCGUGACUCGUGCCCAAUAUU
rnacentral:miRNA from 15 species